rnacentral:lncRNA from 1 species
UCUCUCUCUCUCUGAUCUAGAUUUAUUUCGGUAUGUGGUAAAUAUGCAGAUGAUAAAUUGAUAAUCACUGUAUGAAGAAGAAUGCUAUCUGGGUUACCUUUGUGUUACGAUCAUAAGAUUAGUGCAGCAACCAUUUUCAUAUAAUUAAGGGCAUAAGCAACCAUGAAGCUCAAUAAUUUCCCUAUUUUCUUUUUCUUUUUUGAAGGAUUAGCAACUUGUUAGAUAUGUAAUACUAAAAAAAUCUAAAAUUUAAAUAAUACAGGAACUAAAUUAAUAUUAUGUACCCUUAAUUCUGAUAAACACUAACUGUUUUUUUUACAUAAAAAUUCAUCCAAAGUGGUAUUGAUAAAAGAGCAAUUGCUUUUUAGGUUUUCAUUUGUCCCCCUAGCUAGUAUGAGGAGGAAAGUUUUCCAAUCGUGGAAGUAAAUAAUGCUUUUGAAAAGCAAGCAACCCCGUCAAGGUCUUACCAUAAUUGCUAUGAACAUCAUUUUUAUAACAAUGAUAUAUUUGGACAGUAUGAAGUGUGAUUACCAUUAAUCCUUUUCACUUUCUCACUAAUUAACCUUUUCUUUUCGUUUCUUAAUUUCUGGCAUCCUUCAUAUUGCUCCUGUUGUCAUUCUUGUGCGGAUACUGAUCGAGGUAAGUCAACAUAUUAUGAGGGACUUUCCUGCAACGGUGAUAUGCUCUUUUUUAUGUCUAAAUGACAAAGAGGGACUUGCCUGCAAUAGAAUUUUAAAAUUAUGAGUAGGGACUUGCUUACAAUGGAGAUAUACUUUUUGUGGUAUUCCUUUUACGUUGUCUUUCUCACUUUUAUGUGAUUACAAGAUAACGAUGAGUGAGAAAGACACGUAAGGGCUAUUAUAUCACCGUCGCAGGUAGGUCCCUCUUCGUCUUAACGACAAGACAAUGAGAUGCUUCUACCUAACUAGUCCAACUCUACUUCAUGGUUUUGCAAGAGGGGGCUAUAGGAUGUGUGGUUUGUGUUGGUGAAUGAAUGAGGUUUGAGUGUAAUUUGUGUUUGUAGAAAGUGGUUGAAGCGUGGUUCAUAUGUAUAUAUUGUGCGAUUUUUCAUACUUUAUCGCAAUUUAAAUAUUUUUAAGUAAAAAUGUUCACAUAAUAAAGUGCAAUUAAUGCAAACAAAUAUUUUUGGUAUUUCAAAAAUCUCAUUUGGCACUCCAAAUUUUUUGUAAUUGGAAAGAAAAAUACACUUGUAAGGAGUGUAGAAUGAGAUUUUUUAAGUGCUAAUAGCAGUUCCCAUAAUUUUUUAAAUUAACGGAAAGAAAAAAUUAAGGUAAAACGAUAUUAACAAUUUUUAACCUAAAAUUUAGGUCAUACCAUUAGAGAAAAAAAUACAGUUUCUAGCUAAAUCUAAAAGCCAAAUUCCAAAAUUUGUGUUGGCCUUAAACUAACCAUUGGAGUUGGUCCUAUCGGUGAAUCCUACCCCCUUUAAAUUAAAUUGGAAACAUGGUACCACCACCAAGGAAACACCACAACAUCUGUCUCUAUUCCUUCUCAUCCACGUCCGACUGACAGCGAUUUGCAACACAAAUGCAUCCAUAGCUUCUUGAUAUGUUUCUAAUCCAACUUUUUAACAGUGUAGUUAAUCUCUGCUUCGUGGUUUAAUAGCUGAUUAACUUCAAGUUAAUUCAGUUCGUGAGAGUGUGACUGCAGAUUUUUUUGCUCUUCCCUGCAAAUAAGUAGCCCUGUUCACACCGACAAAACUUUUCAUGUUUUGGAAAGGCGACAAACAGCGAUCUUUGGAUGCUUCAAUGAUUUGAUUUCACUGGAAAAAAAAAAAAAGUGCAAAGCCAGAAAAAUCUGAUUAUUUUAUCUCUUUUAUUUGUUGGUUUUUUAUGUUUAAAGUAAAUGGCUACUAUUUUUCCCACACAAAGCAAGAUAAGAUGGCACUUUUAUCUUUUUUCUCUCAAAAGUUUUCAAUACCUUGACUUCAAAACUCACAUUAUGAAUUGAAGGGAAGUAGGCGAUGAGGUUUUGCUUCCGCAUGAGUGACAUCGUGGCUUAAUUUUGGCUCAAAAGAACUACACAGUCGAACUGCUUGGAUUGAGUGAUCGAGGACAGUUGACAACAGUCAAGUAUUUGUUGGUAUCAAGUGUCUGUAGGUCGUACCCAGUGCACAAGGCUCCCGCUUUACGCAGGGUCUGGGAGAGGUGAAUGUCGGCUAGCCUUACCCCCAUUUUAUGGAGAGGCUGCUCCCAAAUCAAGUGUCUGUAGGUACUCAAGGAAAAUUAAAAUGGUUGCAUUUCGACUUUAAGGACAAGCAAGGGACCAACCAGUAUCAUAUAUACCGAAAUCGAGACUGGAAGUACCAAUAUAUCUACCGAAAUCGAAACUUAAAUACUUAGUUCUAGAGAGUUGCAAAGCAUAGCAUAUUGUCUAACAAUCCAAGCACUGAGAAAGAAUAAAAAUAAAAAUAAACCUCAAACUUAUAAAGCAUGGGUAAUUUUGAAGAGUUUAAAAGAAUAAUUUCAUUGCUCUUUUGCAGAAAUUGUCAUCAUCUAAUAUGUAAAAGAAAGGUAUCAACUCAAAGGUAAUGCUUCUGGUAAAGAAAAAACCAAGAACAAGAGUACACCAGCAUAGCAAGUACGACAGAAGAUUCUAGGUUGGUACAAAUGCAUAUACAGUUUUAUGCCAAACAUUCUCGGACGAAGAAAUGGACAAAAGACCGGCACAAGUACAGCACGACGUGCCAGGCUCGGUUGCCUCUCUUAAGCAAAAGAUUAGAAGUAAAGGAAUCUGAUGCACAUGGAUGCAGCUAACUUAUGCUUCAGCCUUGCAUUGUGCUGGUGAAGUCAAUCAACUGUCGCUGUGGAUUCUAUAUGGUACAAACAACUAAUGGUAAAUGUAUAACAAAGAGAUGCACAACUUACUGGUCCUCUGUUAGUGCUAUAAAGUGCUAUAAUUGGCCCCACCAAACCAGUCCAAAUAGUCUCUUUCAAAUCGGGUUUGGAUCCUGAGCUAAGAAGCAGUGCUUCCCGAGCCUUUUCUCUGGGAGCAACGUUCUUGUCAACCAUUUUCUUCAGCAAUUCCAUUGCUUUACAAACCAAACCCCUUGGCCACAACCCGUAAAUUACCUCACUGAAUGAGGAACAAAAACGAAUGAGAACCUUAUCUAACAUUGCUUCCACAAAGACACAAGCUUCAUCAACAUCUCCUUUGCACAAUAGACCAUCCAACAUAACCCUAACUCUCUUGCUCUACUAAGCUCCCCGUUUUUGCAUAAUGCCUUUACCAAGAUGUUAUAAGUAAACGAAUUAGGCUUGCACCCCAGCUCUCCAGACACGAAAUCAUGUUUAAUCAUGCCUCCAUAUUGUUCUGAUUGCACAAACCAUGAUAGACAAUGCCCUUUGACGAUGGGAUUUGUCUACUUUGUUUUUUCCCUUGCAUCUUUUUUACUCUUACUUUUUUGCUACUCCGAGGGACUUGCAAUUUAAAUAUACCUGGUAAGUAUAAACAUCAGAUGCACUGUUUACUGGUGAUCCAAGUCAGUGCGCCAUCACCUAUGGAAGUGCUACUAUUGGCUCCACCAAACCCGUCCAAGUAGUCUCCUCUAAGCUGGGUUCAGAUCCUGAGCUAAGGAGCAGUGCUUCCCAAGCCUUUGAUCUGGGAGCAACGUUCUUGGCAACCAUUUUCUUCAGCAAUUCCAUUGCUUUACAAACCAAACCCCUUUGGCACAACCCAUAAAUCACCUUAUCGAAUGAGGAACAAAAAUGAACAAUAACCUUAUCUAACAUUUCUUCCAUAAAGACACAAGCUUCCUCAAUGUCUCCUUUGCCAAACAGACCAUCCAGCAUAAUCCUAUAAGUCUGCAAGUUUACCCCAACACCGUUUAACGUCAUCUCACGCAUAAGAUUUCUAGCCCUCCUAAGCUCCCCACUGUUACAAAUUGCCUUCAGCAAGAUGUUAUAAGUAAUCAAAUUAGGCUUGCACCCCAACUCUUCCAUAGAAGUAAUCAUCAUCAAUCCCGAUUGAACUUUAUUCUGCUUACACAAACCACUUAUAUACACAUUGUAGGUAUAAACAUCCGGAACCAAACCCAACACAAGCAGCUCAUCAAAAACCUGAUCCGCCUUCUUGAAAUCCCCUUCCGCGAUAAAGCCAUGUAAGACCAUGGUAUAACAAACAAUGUCAGGCUUAAUUCCUUCCUCCUUCAUCUUAACCAACACAUUCAAGGCAUCCAAACCCCUCCCCUGUUUCACCAUAACCCUAAUCACAUUGGAAUAGUCCAUCAUCCCAGGACAAAACCCAAGUAUCUGCAUUUCUCCCAUAAACCCCAUAACAUCAACACACUCUGAAUCCUUUUGUUCACACAAUGAUAACAAUAUCAAACCGCAAAUCUUCACAUUCAAACCAUAACCAUUAUUCAUCAUACAAUUCAUAAUCUCAAUAGCAUAUCCAACCUUCCCAAUUCCACACAAAGCACUGACCAAAAUCCAAAAACUCGAUUCUUCGAGCCGGAUGCCCAUUACGUGGCUCCUGAGCAAAAUCUCGGGAACCAAUUUAAGACCUUCACAGGACCCACAAAGCACAUACAACAAUGCAUUGAGAGAGUGAGCAGAAGGGACACACCUGAACUUGGGAAUUCUGUAAAACAGAUCAAUUGCGUCCUGGGUUCUGCUCCAACGGCCAUAAAAACAGAUUAGAUGGGAAAAAAUGUGCUCCGGCGUGUCGAACUUUUCGACUUUUUCGAGCUGGCAGAGAACCGGAACGAUGUGGUCGAACUGGGAGGUUUUGGUGAGGGUUUUGAGGACAAAGUGGUAGGCUUCCGGGGUUGGGUCGACGUUGUAGGUUUUAAAGGAGUAAUGAGCGUCGGAAGAAGGUGGCAGGGUGGCGGCAAUGAUUUUUUGAGGCUUUGGAAGGCUUGGUUUUGGUUGAAGAUUUGUUGCCAUCUGGUGUUGUACGGCGAGACCGGCCAUUUCCUGUGCUUUCUCAGGAAGAAUUUGCUACUGGGUUUUAGUGCAGAUGCUCUCACCAUUUUUUAUUCGAUUUGAAACUCGGAUUGUUUGGGUUCAUCUGUUUGUUUCAGGUGGGAAAUACUCGUUGGGAUAUAUCGGUUUCUGCAGCUUCUUGCAGGGAACACGACGACCAAAAACGACAUGUAGUAUUUUGGGCAUAUUAACGGGCUGGAAUAAUGGUCCAUUGGGUUUUUACUUUUAAAUUUUUUUUUAUGUCGAACAAUUUUGGUAAAAAGAAAAGAGAACUAAAAAGACUCGAUUUAUUCGGUUUGGUUCGGUUCUAUUUAUGAUUUUGGAUUUUCAUUUUUCCAUGCAUAAUUUAUAUGCAACUGAUCUCUAAUGAUCAAUCAACCCUGGCUAUCGAUCAAUUUAUGGUUUUGCAGAAUGUUAGUGUCGGUCAAUCAAUUAUAUUGUGUCGAUAACUUGAUUGUAAUGUGUCAUUGCAAUUAAUUAUUCAAAUUUCGCAACUAUCACGUGUUGAAGAUAACCUCUUUUGUUCUAGUGACCUUUCGAUUUAAAUUUCGCAACUAAUUAUUGGCUAUUAAAUGUUAAAACAACAUUUGGGAUCAAAGUUGAAAACUGGAAGCUGGAAGAUACCUCAAAAUUUACGUGAGACCAAAUCAUGGUAAGCAGUACAAGAAAAGAGAAAAGUCAUGGUAUGUAGUAUUCAUCAAAACUUAAAAUAUUAAUAGACAACAAGCGUGUACAAGUUAAGAUAUGAUACUAGGGUUUAGGUAAGAAACGGGUCAAAAAGUUACUAGAUAAAAUGUCGUUUCAAACAAUCAUUCUCAGUUCAUGGAGCUUGUUUAUAUCGUCUUGCACAAAAAUUGGUUGAGGCGAAUAGGAAUAGACAAUAUCCUUUGGUAUACUUGCUUGUGACUUUAGCAUUGAUUUACACAUUACGACUAUUUUGGUGAAUUUUUUUUUUCAAUAAUUUGAGAAAGAUAUACAAUUUUACUAAUAUUAAUAUUGUAGUACGAUAUUUCUAAUAUAUGAGAGCAUGUUAUUGCUGAUAACUAUAAAUGAAAGUAUGGUAUAUCUUUGGAAGCUUUUUAUUUUGAUCCCGUUUUUGUAAGUUCAUGGCUCCGCCACAUCUCAUCAUAGUUUAAGAACCUUAACACAUGUUCAAUGUGUUAAUCAACCAUGUUUUUAGGACGUCUUCGUACAGCUGUAGAGGAAACUUCACUACAAUUUAGGUUUUGUUCAACACGCUAGUAUGCAUAUUAUCAUGAGACCAAGUCGUGGUAUGCAACAUGGAUUACGACUUUAUAUUUGACGGUAGAACCAAAACCUUGGAUUUCCUACCCUAUAUCUAUAUAAUGCUGCUUUAAACUUUAUCACCAACAAAACAAAGUCUUUUUGUUGAGUUUGCCAUAUUCUGAUUGACUAGUCAAUAUACGAAAUACGUUUUGGUAUAAGCAUAUAACCGUCCGCAGUGCCAAGAUUGUCUUUCCAUAAAUAAAAAACCACGACAUCGAACAUUUCUAUGAUCAUGAAACAAGCAGAACCUAGCGCACCAUCGUUAGCAUCUGCUAACCCGGAUCCCGGAUCAGCAGCGCAUGCUAAUCCCACCGCCCCGAUCGUCAGCCCUCACUUUUGCAGUCCUAACCCUGUGGUUAUUGAAAUUGUCAGAAAAGUUCGAACCAUAACAGGUGACAAAUUUGUAGUCGCUGAUGUCAAUGGUAACAUGAUUUUUAAAGUUAAAGAAGCUCAUUUCAGCUUUCAUGAUCACCGAGUCUUGCUUGAUGCUGCCGGACAUCCUAUUAUCACUCUAAGAAGGAAGGUAAGAACAUAAAACUCAUUGAUAUAUUAUGUAGCUCUUGAACUUUAACUAUUGUUUGUGAAUUAAAGUCUCAGUUCAUAACGUAAUGUUGCUAGUUAGUGAAUGUAAACCAUAUAUUCUGACACGAAUCAGCUUCAUUAAUAAUUCUGACAAUAUGAUAGUUUAACGAGAUAAUACUUUUGUUAGUUUAUAUACUAAUUCUAUUGCACUUAACCAACUUUUUUUUUAUAUUCUCAAAUAAAUAAUGCAUGUAGUCUAAUAUUUUAGUGGAUAGAGUGUUGGGUUUCUAUGAAUGCGUUUCGGUUCAAAACUCUCAUUCCUCUAAUUAUUGUAAUAAUUUCGAACUCUCCCCCUAAUAAUUAAUAGUAAAAAAAAAAAAAGUAUUCUCAAAUAAAUAAAUAAACUAACUUAUUGGUAUGUUUUUUGUAUAGUUCAACACUGCACAUGAAAGAUGGCAAGUUUUCAGGGGGGAUAGCAAAGACUCAAGGGAUCUGAUUUUUAGUGCUAAGAGAUCUUCAAUGUUCCAAUUGAAGGCCAAGUUGGAUGUUUUCUUAGCACAAAACAUAACAGAGAAUGUACCUGACUUCAAGGUCAAAGGAAAUUGGUCUGAACGAUCUUGUGUCAUACAUGCUGGGGACUCCUCAACCAUGCUUGCCCAAGUAAGCUUUCAUCAAUUUUAUAUUCAGCCAUAAUAUCUUAUAAUUAACAUAAUUAAGCAAUCAGAAGCUUAGUUUGUUUCUUCAGAAACUUAAUUUCUCCACAAGUACUGACUGGGAUAAAUAUGUUAUGGGGAAAAUUGCAGAUGCAUAAGAAGCACACAGUUACACCCGUGUCAUUUGGCAAGAACAAUUUCACGGUGACAGUGUAUUCGGGGAUUGACUACGCAUUCAUUGUCGCGCUUAUUGCAAUUUUUUGUGAGAUUAACACUCCCUCGAGCUCGGGCUCAAGCGUCGGGGUGACUGAUUUGCAUGGAUUUACUACCUCUUAAUUAGGAAAUGAUGCAUCUUUAUCCUUUGGCUUUGUGCUUUGUUUGGGCCUUGCCCUUGUUUCUAUUUCAUUAAUCAUUUCUAACAAUACAUAGGUGUCGAUUUAUUAUAAAACUCCGGUGACCAAGAAAAUGAUCUGGAGAUGAAUUUGCUCAAACAAGACAACAAUAGUGAACCUCUAAAUAGCUACCACAUAUACAAAAGCUUCACACAUCACCCAUACAAACUAUCAUAAGACAAUAGGUAUAACAAACUUGUAUCGGCAACUGCAAAAGGUCAUCGCUGAAUAACGAGGUCACAUAAAAUCAUUCCGGAAACGAGACCACAUAAGAUCAUUGUAGCUAGACGAGACCACAUAAUACAUCGCUCAUGCGAAAACCAUAUCUAGUCAUCAUUGCAAAACGGCCACAACAGAACUAACUAAGCAAAACUAAAUUAAACUACGCUUAAACAAACUAAACCAAACUACUCCAAACUGUUGGAAAUUUAAAUAGUUUGAGUAGACAUUUCAUUGUCCCACAUUGGCCAUUCCCAAAAGAUUUUAUCACUUUAUAAGGCUUUGUCCUUUAUAGAAAGUGAUUGGAGUAAUAGGCCUGAAGACUAAAAUUGGGCUCACCCUUGGGGCUGGGCUUUGGAGUGCAUUAAUUAAUUGGUAAUUAAUAUAUAAUUAAUUAUCAAAAGAUGGGCUCUAAUAAUUAAAUUAUUUAAUUAAUUAUUUUUCGGAUUUAAUUAAUUAUUUUUUAAAAUUCGAAUUUGAAGUCUGAGAGUUCUUUCUGAACACAGAGCAAAGCACCCCUUGAAGAGAAGUCUCUCAACAGUCACACCCCAUUCUCAUACCUGUUGCAAACAAGCAUCCAUCUGCUAUAUAUACAUACAUCUGCAUGGCAUUUAGUAGACAGAAAAUAAUCAACUUCAUCUUCUACGUUCCUAAACCUCUUACUGAGAGAACCACACUAAAUUCGCCAGAAGUUAAAUUUUUCGGUGUCGGAAUUUUAACUUGAUCGUUGAAUCCUAGUAAAGCAGAUGUCCGUAGAACUACAAGCACAGAGCAGGGACGAAAUUUCUGUUUCAAGAACAUUGCGGUACGCAAGCCUCAAUCUUCAAGUUGUUUGUUUUUAUAAUUCGUAUUUUAGUUUAUAUUCUGUUAAUUCCUAUUGCAUUUAUUAUUUAUUAGCAUAUAUAAAUUAUCAUAUUGUUGACAUACAUCUAACACAAACGACUACUCCGAGAACAGAACCCCAUGUCGACUAAUUUCGAUUGAGGGUUACGAAACUCUGACGAAAGCCACCUGCAAUGGUACAAAAUGGGUAUGCACAAUCAACAAUUCAAAACAAAGCGGCAGAGCCGCAACCAUUGAAACUCAGGCCGGAGAUUCCAAAUCUGAAAUCCUCAAGCGCGGGGGGGGGGGGGGGGGGUGCUACAAGUGGUGCAACAUCCAGAUUAGCAUGCCUAAGGCUAUGCAACACUAACUUAUGCUCGGCGCUGCGACAUAUUUGGGCGCAGAGGCGCUGCGACAUAUUUGGGCACAGAAGGCGGCGUGACAAAUUUGGGCGCAGAAGGUGCGGCAACCACAGAAAACGUCGAUGAAAGUAUCACAACACCGAAUCAGAUAAACGGAAGUGGUUCUAACCUACCAACAGUCCCAAUCCAAACCCUAAACCCAAAUCAAGAAGGAGACAUUGAGAAGGGCAUAAUCCGGAUCUAGGUAAGAGACACGAAGCCCUGGGACUACACAACACAAAAUGUUUGGAGGGAAAAAACAGGGAGGGAGAAAUGAAAUCGUGUUGAAACUGAGAUGGGGAAAGGGGAUGGCGAAGCGGAUGGGAGGAGAAGGAAAGCUGGUUGCAGAAAGGAAGGAAGGGAAAGCUAGGGGGAGAUAGGAUGGGCUGCCACUGGCCCCAAGCCAUGGCAAGGGCCCCGCGGCUAUGGGGACUGCAACUAAGGGUUUUCUCGGGAGGGAAAAAGGUUAGAGGAAAAGGCCGGACUUUCUCGGCUGCAAUAAUAUUGUUCGGUUUUGCUUUAUCUUUAUAUUUUUUAACUUAUGUUGCUGAACAAUUUGUCUUUCGGUCUUUAUUAUAUAAUGAUAUUUUAACGGGGAAUCUUUUGAGAUUCAUUUUUAUUUGUAAAUAAGAGGGGUAUUAGGUUCGAUUUUCAUCAAAAGAGAAUUUGAAUUACAUUAUUGUCAACUCAUUGUGAGACUAAUCUCAUCCCCUCAUCUAUAGUGUAAAAAAAAAAAAAAAAAAAACAAAGGGUGAAAAAGGAAUUUGGGUUAUAAAUCCACAAUAGCAAUAAUAAUUUCGUACGUAUACAACUUAUCAUAUAUCAAAGUUGAAUCUAAAAUAUUGAAAGGAUAUACUACUACAUAACAAAUCUUAAGAUUUAUGAGUGGUAUCAACUGGUCUUAUUGUGCCAAUUUGAUCGCAAUUGCAUGCUCAAGUUUCGCAACUAUCCGACGUUGAUAUAUGAGAGAAAAUGACGACUAGGGGAUAUUACCUAAUUUUAGUUGUUCGAAUUUUAUUAAUUUCAAAUUAAAAAGGGUUAAGGGAAAACUUAAAGUGGAGUACAAAUUCAACGGAAAUUUAGGCGCAUAACUAGUUUAUUGGUAUUUUACUUCAUUUAUAAGGGAACCGGAUCCUCUCCGAGGCAAACCUUCGGGAUUCUGCUUAGCGACAAACACGGGCCGUUGGAUUUUGAUUCAACGGCUACAAUUAUUAUAACUUUAAGAAUGAUCCCUUGUUUGUAGUCGUUGGAUCGAAAUCCAAUGGUUUGUGUUUGGCACUCAACAUGAUCCUGAGGGUUUGCCUCGGAGAGGAUCUAGUUCCAUUUAUAAGUGAGAGAGUGAGUUCGAUACACAUGUUUGGUGAGUAUGUAGAAUAUUAUUGAGUUAUAUGUCUAAUUAUGGUUACAUUGUUUGACUUAGCCCAUUGUCCACUCCUCUAAAGAGCAAAUGAUUGGCCAUAAAUAAAAAGAAGACCUGGUAUUAGGGGUGCAACUCGGAUAGGUUGGAAGAUUAACCCAAUCCUAACCCAACUUUUACAAUUCGGGCUCGGAUUCGGGUUGAGUUUCAUUCGAGUUCAUUUGGGCUCGGGUUUACUUGAGUCAGGUUCGGGUUGCCCAACUUUUUCAAGUUUAAUCUUGUAACAACUUAGUUUCCAAGAAUUCCUAAAAAAAAUUAAGUCAAGUAGCAUCAAAGCUAGCUAACUUUAAUUUCAUAAAUCAAUUUUCUAUAAAGCUUUAGGAUUUAGAGACUACGAAUAUGCUAACUAAUCAAAGCCUCUUAUUCCGUAAAAGCUUAAGUAAUUAUAAAGGGUAAUUUAUUAAAAAAAAAAUUAGAAAGGGCAUUGGUUUUAGGACUUGUCUCACUUGGGUGUAGUAUGAACAUUAAUUGAUAUGGGUUAUAAUCUGGUUAGAUUGGGUUUGAUUAGUUGGGUUGGGAAUUGACGGGCAAAUGAUUAGCCCAACUCAACCUAAUCAAUGAACAGGUUGAAAUUGGGUUGGGUUCGGACGAGUUAUAAUUAAAAAAAACCCCACUUGUUUGGGUUUAAAGUGGGGUUGGACAUGGGUGGGUUCGAAUUGGCCCAACCCAAAUUGCACCCUCACCUGGUAUGAGCCUUCCCAUUUUAUUUACACAAAAGUCGCACUACUUUGACCUACCAACUUUGAAGCCCAAACCAAGGCUAAGACGACCAUCUCACUUCUCUCUUACUUGUUUGAGGCUUCGGACAUAAGUCUCUCUGAAGUGUGAUUGCCACACAUACGACCAGGGCCUGGUAUAUUGUGCCCCCUUAAAUGUAUACACAUGUGUCAUCCAACACGCUGAGGUCAUUAUUGAGGUCGUGCUAACCGCCUCAAGACGCAGUUAAAUGCCACCUACCAGGAAUUACAGUCACUGUCAACACCUAAUGAAUGAUCUACCAUGCUUCAGCUCAGCGACAUGAUCGAGGCUGCUCCUUCUCCCUAGCCUAUAAAUUAAAUAGAGGCCUUCAAGCUCAAGAUCUUCGUUAAAUUCAAUCUCUACGAUUAAACAAAACCUUGAGUGAUUCUUCAAUCAACCCAACUAUUUUUUCAGCGCAAACCCAAUUGAUCUUUAGCAAAACUUUCUUAGCUCUUCAGCUACAAUCUCAAAGUCUUCCUUCAAAGAAAACACCACCUAUGAUUCCUGAUAUUUAAAACUUUUACAACUCUGCCACCCUAUGGUAUGAUUCAAUUGAUCUGUAAUUCAUACCACCCUGACUUCCUAUCUGAGAUGCAUGUUUUGUACUAAGUCAUAUCAUACACUAGUGAUCUUGGUGAAUUUCUCUAGCCUUAUCUUACUCUUAUGGGCAUGAUCUUGCUAGAGUUUUACUGCUUUCCUUGUACUUUCAGUUAAUUUAUAUUUUAAGUUAUGUAGUUCGACCCAUCUGCUUAAAUUUUACUUUUGUGAACGUUUGUUAUGAAUUUCUCGUUCUAGUUUCUAUUUCGCUUUCAUUUACUUUUUAAGCAAGCAUACACAAAGUUACACUAAAUUUUAAGUCCUCGUUCGCUUGAGACACAUAAAGAAUUUAACUAAACCAACAUCCCAUUCAGUGCUUAAUCAUUUAGUUAAGAAGUUAGAUUAACGCACAACUUACACACACACACACUCAAACAAAAUAUUGUUUGUUGGCAGCUCCAAUAAUGGCAUGUAUAUUCUCUCAUUCUCUCUAGCUAUCCCGCAGCAUUGAGACAAAAAGCAACACAGCAAAAACGUGUUGAACCUCCUGCUUCAUCCGAGUUUUGGCACCCCCAGAAAAUCCUCUCCUUUUAGAUUACCAUGACCAUCAUUUUUCCAAUUGCUGCCUCUAAUUUUCCCACCUUCUAGAAUGCCAUUAAAUUGGACCCCAAAACAAAAAGGUGAUGUGAUCAAAAGUCUUAGUUUCCGUUUCUUUUAUUGACUUUGCUCUAUUCCAAUCGAAUGCAUCCAAUAUACGUAACACGCUUUGGCGUAUAUACCUACAGAUAACCAACCUCAACGCCAAGUCGUCUCUCCAUAAACAAAAGAUCACAGGGGUUCAUCGACAUCCAAUAUUUCUCCGAUCAUGAAAGAAGCAGAAGCUGGCGAACGAUUAUUAGCAUACGCUGAUCCAUCUCCAUCAGCGUUUACUAAUCGCGAGCUAACAGCGUCCGAUAAUCCAGCUGCUGCGAUCAUCAGCCCUCACUUCUGUAGUUCCCAUUCUAUGGAUCUUGCAAUUGUCAGAAAAGUUUUAACGAUACGUGAGGGCAACUUUGUAGUCACCGAUAUCACUGGUAACAUGAUUUUUAAAGUACGAGGAUCUCUUUUAUUCAGCCUUCAUGACCGCCGAAUCUUGCUUGACACUGCCGGGUAUCCUAUUAUUACUCUAAGAAAAAAGGUAUGGCCUUCUAUUAAGAGGUAAUUUGUUAUACCAUACAUGUCCUAGAUUCGCAAAUCAAAUCCAUAAAUAUUUGCUUCUCGAUUUAUAUGAUGUAUAGAUUACUUGUUCAGAGUAAAUCUUACAUUGGAAAAAUUAGAGGUCUUGCAUGUGCUUAUAAAUACUUGAGUUACUUCCUAUAUUACCAAUUGAUUUCACGAUAGAACCAACUUUUGUCAUGUUAUCAGAGCGAAUUGUCCCUCGUGUGAAGCACAACCGCCACACGUACUCCACAUCUUGCUAUUUGUGUUGUGCUUGUAAUUCGCCACAUAAGGAGACGUGUUUAGAGUGAAUCUCACAUCUCAACCUUAUUUGCUUAUAUGCAAUUGGACUACUCUCUAUAUUACUAAUUAGUUUUAUAGUGAAACCAUAACUUUCCUCGUUAGCGAAGAAUCUGAACGAGAAGAUGUCGAAAGUUUGUUCUUUUUACUGAAGUCGACUUACUGAUUCAUAAGUUUUAUGGUGUAUAUAUAGUUGACGAGUGCACACGACAGAUGGCAAGUUUAUAGAGGGGAUAGCAAAGAAACCAGGGAUCUCAUCUUCAGUGCUAAGAAAUCUUCAGUCGUCCAAUUUAAGACCACAUUGGAUGUUUUCUUAGCACAUAACAUUACAGAGGAUGCACCAGACUUCAAGGUCAAAGGAAGUUGGCAUGAACAAUCCUGCUUCAUAUACGGGGGAAACUCCUCCACCAUCGUCGCCCAAGUAAUUAAGAUUAAUUUCAUUAAUUUUUAUUAUAAUACGUUAGUAUUUUAAUUAAUGCAAUGUUAAUUUGGCAAUCAUAUACUUAAUUAAUUAUUUUAUGCAAUCACUUUGUAGAUGCAUAAGAAGCACACAGUUAAAAGCGUGCUGUUUGGGAAGGACAAUUUCGUGGUGACAGUGUAUCCUGGGAUUGACCAAGCAUUCAUCGUCGCGCUUAUUGUGAUUCUUGAUGAGAUUAACUGGUAAUCAAAAUUGAGGUGAUAAUUAAUUUGGAUCUACUUCUUAUGUUAAUUAUGAACAAUGCAUCUUUGUCUUUUGUUUUUUUUUUUUUUUUCGGUGAGAGAAAGUUUAUGGAGAGGGAACGCUACUCCAUCUCAGAACUAAAAUGUACUAUAAGCCUUUUUAAGGAUUUACAAAGUGGUUUUAGGUCAUUUUAUUAUUUUUACAAAAUGUCCACCAACAGAAAUUGCUGGCAGUUUAAAUCUUGAUCUAGAGAAGGGAAUGAUCUUUCUGUACCAACUCAACCAACUCUCAUAGCCAUUGCACCCUCGUUGGCAACAAUACUUUGGUUUAUGUAUACAUAGUCUAUCACAGUUUUUGUUUUUUUACUAACCAGUUGCGGUUUUUCAAUUUUCAAUUAGGGCGCCUUACUUUCAUCCAGCGUUUUCAAAUUUAUUUGGCUUCUCAAAUUGCCAUUAUUUAUGAAAUCUAGCUCUUUUAAAUUUCUUUCUUCUAAUGGUGUGAGAGGUUAGUGGCUAAAACAUAUUAAGUGACUAGUUUUCAUUAGCUACCAGCUCCUUCCUAAGUUAACACUUUCUGUAAGCAAGAGUCGAGGCAAAACUAGCCCCUUAAAGAGCCCUGACAUAUUUUAGCCUAAGUUAAAUAUGUCAUAUUAGAAAUUGAAUUUUGUCAUUUGGAGCUAAAUAACGCUCUUUUCUAAGUUACUUUGGAUGGGUAGAGGAUUUUUUAGCAGGUUAGGAAUUUUUGCCGUUUUGAAAUUGAAUUUUGGUAACAUAUAAUUGCAAACUGUAUUUGCUUGCUGGGUUUUCCUUUAAAACUUAAAACACCAACUCAUAUUAUCAAAAAUAAAAAAAAAAUAAAAAACUAACGUGAUGGUCUGAAGAAGAAGAUAACAAUGUGACACUGACACCUAGACCUGUAAACGGGUCGGGUUUAUUGGGUUUGGAUCAGGGUUCACCCAACCCAUUAAGUUAACGGGUCAUCCGAACCCAACUUAUUAAACUCAUUGAUCACCUGUUAACACCCAUUAACAUUUUUUUUUGUUUAAUUUUGCAUUCCAAUUCAAAUUCAAAAAUCCAUCCAUUUCAAAAAUCCAACAUGCAAUGCCAAUAUGCAAAACCAAUGGAAUCAAUCCAUUUUGACAGUUACCUCUAUUAUCCAUCCUUUUCGUUGUUUGACAAAGGCGUGCCAUGACCUUCUUCUUCAAGUCCGAGACAGAGAAGCACUUGAAGGAAAGAUCCCGAUCCAGCAAGCCAGAGGACGAGUUGCCGCUGUUGGAGGAGAGAAGCUUGACUACCUCUCGAGAAAGCGGCUGAGACGAAGUGUCAGAGCCACCGGAGGAGUAGGAAGAGUCAUCUGUUGCCAUUUUGAGCCGGGAAUGUAGUCCUGGAGCAUAUCGGCGACCUCUUUGAAGUGGCAGAUAUAGGCUUUGAGUUUGAGGGCUUCCUAUUAUAAGUAUUGAAAUUACACAAAAACCCUCAAUAACGGGUGUUAACGGGUUUUGCAGAUUGACCCAAAAUGACCUGUUAUUUAAUGGGUGAUUAAUAGGUUGACCCGUUAACAACCCGACCCGUUAAAUACUCACCUGAAUACUAAUUUUAACGGGUCGGGUGUAAAAUGCCAGGUCUACUGACACCCCAUUUUUACAAUAAACCAGUGACGUUGUAUGUAAUAUUUAAGAAAUUUAAUUAAAAUCUGCUAAUUACAUCCUAAUACUAGAUUCAAUGCUAUUUUAUUAUUUUAUUAUAAAAACUUGGAUAGUUAAUUCGACGUUAGAUUCACAACAUAUAUAUAACGUUAAGAACUUACCAGUGAGACAUAAGUCUCUAAAAUGUGUGACUUUAAUUUAUGAAAAAUUAGAUAAAAUAGUUUAUGGUGACAAGUCACGGUUAUCCACUAUUUCUAGGCUCGGGAAACUACUGCAGAAUUUCACCUUAACCAGGGAAAUUUCACCUUACUAGUGGCCAUAGUCAAGCAGAUUCAAUCAAAUUCACCAGAGUGUGCAAGUCAUGGAGGUCUCUGAUCCGAAGCCCUAAAUUCAUUCACACCUACCUAUCCCUUUCAAUCGUCCAACCAAACAGCCAGAACGACGGCGGUCAAAUCCUCCUCCUACAGAGUUCAGACGAGGGAUGGCACGGUAGGCACCCCUUCGAAUUCGACCAGUAAGUAUUUCAACCUUAUGAACCCUGCCCAAAAUAAUACACUAGGGCCAAAAUAAAUAUACCCGACCCAGAAUGGGUGCCAUCCUCCUUUCCGCUUUACAUGUAAAAGGUGUCCUUCCUCAGUUCUUCUUGUUGGAAGGUGUACAUAUAUAUACAAACACACGUAUAUAUACAUAUAUUCCUACGCACGAGCAACGGGUAAUCAUCUUUCAACCAAGCCAAAAGUGCCCAAAAUAGGUAACAAUUCAAAACUUAUCU